rnacentral:rRNA from 1 species
GUCCACGCCGUAAACGAUGGGCACUAGGUGUGGGAGGUGUCGACUCCUCCCGUGCCGGCGCUAACGCAUUAAGUGCCCCGCCUGGGGAGUACGGCCGCAAGGCUAAAACUCAAAGGAAUUGACGGGGGCCCGCACAAGCAGCGGAGCAUGUGGUUUAAUUCGACGCAACGCGAAGAACCUUACCUGGGCUUGACAUGUGGGUGACAGUCGUGGAAACACGAUCUUCCUUCGGGACACCCUCACAGGUGGUGCAUGGCUGUCGU